CAGGGCUUGACAUGGGGAGGCUGCAGUCAGAGAUGGCUGUUUCCCGCAAGGGACCUCCUGCACAGAUGCUGCAUGGCUGUCGUCAGCUCGUGUCGUGAGAUGUUGGGUUAGGUCCCGCAACGAGCGCAACCCUCGCCUUUAGUUGCCAGCAUGAUUGGGUGGGCACUCUAAAGGAACUGCCGGUGACAAGCCGGAGGAAGGUGGGGAUGACGUCAAGUCCUCAUGGCCCUUAUGCCCUGGGCUACACACGUGCUACAAUGGCGGUGACAGUGGGAAGCCAGGCAGCGAUGCCGAGCUGAUCUCAAAAAGCCGUCUCAGUUCGGAUUGCACUCUGCAACUCGAGUGCAUGAAGGUGGAAUCGCUAGUAAUCGCGGAUCAGC
rnacentral:rRNA from 1 species